rnacentral:lncRNA from 1 species
UUGAUCGGCGUUAUCGAUGCUGAUCGCCAUCUUUUAUCGUGUUAAAUACAUAAUAAUGAUAAAAAAAAUGGACGAUUUACUCAUUGGAAGUGUUAAUUUUGCAGAAAAUACACUAUAUAGUUGGAAAUAUGGGAAUUAAAAUAUUCCCAAAUAUUUAAACAAGAUUUGAGGUAAAUAACAAUGUAUAUUAGCAUUUCUAACUCCAUAGAGUUGUAGAUCGGCUCACAAGGAUUCCAUUGGUACAGGUUUUGAUAGUGAAAUGCAUCUCCAGCGAGUCUUCGGUGACGGUCUGGUGAUUCACCUUAGUGCUUUUUCUUUUUUUAAAUAAAUUAUCCUCUUAA